rnacentral:SRP_RNA from 1 species
GCCGGGCGCGGUGGCUCAAGCCUGUAAUCCUAGCACUUUGGGAGGCCGAGACGGGCGGAUCACGAGGUCAGGAGAUCGAGACCAUCCUGGCUAACAUGGUGAAACCCCGUCUCUACUAAAAAGUACAAAAAACUAGCCGGGCGAGGUGGCGGGCGCCUGUAGUCCCAGCUACUCCGGAGGCUGGGGCCAUUCUCCUGCCUCAGCCUCCGGAGUAGCUGGGACUACAGGCGCCCGCCACCUCGCCCGGCUAGUUUUUUGUACUUUUUAGUAGAGACGGGGUUUCACCGUGUUAGCCAGGAUGGUCUCGAU